ACUUCAUUCAUCUCUAGAUGUUUCUUUGUCAGACACACUGACCUGUGUCUUUAGCUUCUGGUGAAUCCUCAGUGAAACAAGAGGAGCUGGAGAGACUUUUUGGUUCUAAAGUCAUUUUAUUUUCUUCACAGGAACCAAAGAGUCUAAGACGUCUCUGGACAGCGACAAAAGCUUUGACUCUGGUGUUGAUGAUUCUGCUGGCUCUGAUUCUAGUGGCUCUCAGUCUGGAGCCUCUACUUCUUCUACUGUCGCUGCUUCUAGGGCCCCUGUUUCUAGUACCCCUGACAGUGGCAACGAUGAGGCUGAGAACUCCUGAACAGAAAUGAUCCAGCGAACGUCUGAAGUCUCCAGAAAUACUUCAUCAGAAACAUCAGGUCCAUCCAUCAGUGAGAAGGAGACUGAGACUAAGAGGAAUGUAAAUUAAACUAAAGCUUUUUGUAGCUUAGAAAACUGAUGAAUCAACAGCUGAACAUGAUUCUAUUGAUUUCCUGAGUUAAUAAGUAUUUUUCAAUCUUCUUCAAUGUGACAUUUAGAUGAACUUGUUUGAAUCAGGAGCGUUUUUUAGAGCGAGCUGGAAGAAAUGAAACUAAUCCCGGGGUUUAGACUUUAAAGAGUCGAGAUUAAACUAGAAAGAUUUCUCCAUGGUGAACAUUUAAAACCUGGUUUAUGUUAGAUUAGUGAUCUGUUUCAUGUAGAAGAAUCAGGGAGAAACUUUCAAAUGAAUUUAAAAUCAGAAAAGAAAACAGAAUUAAAACAAGAAGAAGAUUAACAGAAAGUUUAAAGUAGAACUUUAUUGGUGCCUUAAUCUGGAUUAUUGAACAGUUUGAACCACGUUUUACAAACAGUCUGAAGUCGAUACACUGGCAUCAUAAUUUUAUGUUAAUCUGAUGCAUUGUGACCAGACACAUCAGGAAUGAUUGGAUGUAAAUAGUUGUUACUCUCUAGAUUUAAACUCCUUAGCUGUAUAAGUGUGACCUGGUACCAGCAACAGAACUUUGCUGUGAACAGAUUAUUAUUUUAUUAUUUUACUAGUAAAUCUCUUCUUCAUGUUUUAAAGCUAAUCAUCAUUAAAUAUGCGCCUGUCUUCAGUGAAUUCUAUUUUGUAGAUGGGAUAUUAAGCUCUUUUAUGUUGAAAUGUACUCUGUGUAUUAUCUCUGUUUUUACAUUUUUAUCAUGAAUAAUCAUUUCCCGCUGAGGAGCACUUUGGUUUUACUUGCUUUAAGUUCUGAGCACGAUGUUUUUGGAUGGUUUGAGUUCAUUGUUUUCCAGCAGAUUAUUAUUAAAGGUUAUUUUAAUCGGACAAGAACUGAUUUUACUGUUUAUUCUCUUUUUGUGAAUGGCUUUCAGAAAUUAAUAAAAGUGACUUUGUCAA